GAGAAACUCACAUCAGAGAGAGAUAGGAUAAAAACCAAUCUAGGGCUGACCCAAAAAUGCCCGCCCAUGUCCUUAAUCUCUCAAAUAAAACACCAUGAUCAACAGUGUCAAAAGCUGUAGACAGAUCCAAAAGUACAAGUACCGAAUAUUCAUCUGCAUCUCUGCGCAUUAAAAUAUCAUGUGAAACUCUAAGAAGAGCUGUUUCACCAAGAGGCAA